UAAAGAUGAUGUUGAGGGUGCUGCCCGAGGAGUAGAGGGCGAGGGAAGGAGCCGAAGGUCGAAGGAGUUAGUGAGGGGAAGGAGGGUCGAGGCAUUGGAGGGAAGCCUAAGAUCCAGAGUGCAGUCACCUAGAAGAAUGAAAGGGUGCGGGAGAGGGAGGACAGUGGAACGAAGACAGUCUAGAUGGUCGAGGAAGAUGAUAGAGGGACUGAAAGGAAUGAUAGAUGAGGAAGAUGAUACAGUGGGGGGAGUAGAAGGAGGAUAGUUGGUGUUCUAAGGAGGGGAAGGAUGGGGUGGAGGGGAGUGUAGGCGCAGGGUUCCAGGAUGGAGGAUUGAGCAAUCCUAUGCCUCCACCUUUGCCAACCCAACGAGGGUUGUGGGAAAAGGAGGAGGCGGGGGGUGAAAGGGCGGCGGUGUUAAAGGGGCCGAUCCAGGUUUCUGUGAUAGCGAGGGCGGUGAAUUUAAGGGAGAGAAAAGCGUCCAAGGUGGAGGCAGAUUUAUUGCACACGGAACGAGAGUUCCAGAGGCCUAAUGUGGGGGGAAUAUCAGUGGAUGGCGGGGUCGGAGGGAGUCCCAUGAUAAAAUGGAAGUCGUUUAAAGAGGGCAUAGAAAUGAUAAGAGGACACGUGAUGUAACAAUGUUGCAAAUAUUUCUGAUUGUGACAACCUGUUGCAGCUUUGCGACUGACGACGAGUGUGGUUUCAGUGAUCUAGCUCAAUAACAUACCCCACGACUAAAAAAGUGGAAGUCCGAGACCAUAGCAUUAGUUUCAUUUUGAGACAGAUGGAAAUUCCCAAGGCUGAACGAGCUAUAAAAACACCUGCACCUCUGCACAUUCACCACGCUCUUUUUCUUCAACGCCGAAAGCACUCUCAGCUUGCAAGCAACGAGAAAACGUCAAAAAAGAUGGGCCUGUCGAAAAAUGAAUUCCCGGAGAAAACAUCAACAGAAACUUAUAGACAUGGAGGUGAAUUAACCUAUGAGGAGGAAUUUCGACGCUUAAAAGAAGACAACGAGAUAUUGAGAAGCAUAAAAGCAGGGGAAAUAUGUGCCAUGAUGAAGGCUAGCGCUGAAAAAAUUGCAGAAGAAUUCACUAACUACGAUGAACAAGAUAACCCAUUCAUUAAUAGCAAUCCAAAUGCGCGACGAAGAAUUUCUCCUCCGGAUAUUGAGGCAGGAGGUAAUGAGGGUGCCAACACAAACCCAGGAGAUGAAGAUCAGACAGAACAGCCUGAUGGUCAAUCCUGUAUUCCGUCUAUCAAAGAUGCAAUCUACAAACACCUUUUCACGAUAUACAACACUUGCAAUUUGGCAGCCUUAAUGUCAUUUGCAGACUAUGUGAAGCAAGGCUUUGUCUACUUUACUUGCAAUGUUGUGGUGUCUUUUGCAAAACGAGGUGUAACAGCAAGCACUUCACUUUUUAAAAAUGUUGCAGAAUUCGCAGGCAGUGUAUUCAAGACGGUUACAAAUGCACUUUGGGAUAUGAUAAAGGGAUUUGUGAAAAUAUCACAAACUGUUUUUAAUAAAAUGAUGAGUGCUCUUUGCGACAAAGAUCAUUUUCAGCAUGCCCACGUGGGAUCUAUCAGGGCUUAGUUACUUAGUCGAUGUCAUCUUGAUGUGACAAGUCUGCAUGGGAAGCAUUAAGUCACAUUUUAAUUUUCAUGUCAAUUUUCUUACAUGUGCACAAUCAUUUUACGUUUAUCUUUUUGUAAAAUGUAUUAUGCAUAAACAUAAUUGCUUUUACAAAAUAUGUACGAACUUAUAUAAAAAUUGGCAACCAUUACAAAAUGCAUAGACUUAUAUUCAACCUAAAACACAAUACAGGCAGACCUGGAAAAUUCCGUGCUGGGCAAAGCCGUAUUCGAAAAAUAGUAGACCUUAUGGGAAAAAUAAAGUUGCUUUCCUGGGUCCAAAAUGAUCACCUCCUUCCUCUUUAACUAAUUCUACAUGUUUUGAUUUUAAGCUUUCAUGACUGCAGGGAUUCAUAUUCUUGGUUCUUUCGGCAAAGUCACGUAGAAGGGAAACAAUAAAAUAACCAAGAAUAUAAUUAUACAUGAUUAACGCUCUUGUUAUUGUAUUCAAGGAUGCUGAGUCAAUCUCCGUUCCUUGUGUGUCUGUGUGUGUGUACACUUUUUAGUUUUCAAUUUCACUUCAACACAAAACUCCCAUCUCCACUCCUUCCCACACCUCUGCACUCAUGCCCAAUGCUCGCCCCUCACACUGAAGUCCCAGCCCCACGGUUACCCAUAACACUUGAACGUGAAUGAUUUACCGUGUAGGCGUCCACAUGAAUAACGUCAAAUGCUGGACGGCUAGAUGCAUGCAUAAUGUGUUAACAUUGGCCUCGUGCUGUUGUGUGAGUUGGUGCACCGCGUAUAGCUGAAACACGCGUUCAAUAGUGGUAGAGCUGCGAAAGGUUUUCCUGUCCUGUAAAGCAGACACAAUGGAAUGUUGAGUUUAAAUAAACACCAACAAGGCUUUGGCCACAUCAACAAUGGUCGUCAUUUAGAGAGACUGGCUACUUGGCUAGGGAAAGUGGAACUUCCAUCAUUCCACCGCUGGUUCAGGUCUGCCAAUGCAGAUUACAGCCGCUCCACAUUUUCAGUUGGGAGACACGUUGUGUUACACUUAAUGGCAACAAGCCUAUGGUGCGACUAGAGGCAAAUGUUGAGCGCCAAAACAAAAACGAGUAACUCAUGUGAUCUGCAUUUGUCUGGCAUGCAUUCUGCUCGAGCUCACGGCCACCGUGUUUAUGAAGAGAGGCUGAGAUGGCCACCGCUUAAUUGAAUUCAUUUUUGUGUUUUGCCCAACCGCCUCCAAUACAUUUAGUUUUUACUUAGCCCCCCCUCGCCUAAAUGAAAUGGUGUUCUCAUUGCAGAAUACAUACAAAUUCUGACAUAACGUCGACGUGGAAUUUAGUACUCAUCUGAGCUUGUAGCAUUCAUGAACGUUGUAAUAAUUUGAUGAAUAAUGUGAACUUAUCCUAUUUGUAAAACAAAAAUUGUACCUAAUUUUGCAAUAUUGACUUGUGAUACAACAUAAACCCCCCUGAGGCUUUUUUUUGUUGUGACAAAAAAAUCUCAAGUUUUACCUCCUGUUAUGCUGGCGGCAUUAUGUUACGAGACGAAAAAUCCACUGAUAUCUUUUGCAGACCAGUGCAAUCUGUCACGUGAGGUUACGGCCCACAGAAGCAGAUAUCAAAUAACUGCUCCUGAGAUCCCUUCAAGUGACCUCUAAGUUCACUUUUCCACCUUCCCUGCUGUUUGUUGCAUGAUUCUAGAUUUGCAUGAUGUUUGUUGCGUAGCAGCAAAAACAAGAACGAAUUUCAGCCAAAUUAACCGCAAAACCAAAUUUCUGUUUUGUGGUUUUUAUUGUGCUGUCAGUGAUGACUCGACACCUUAGAAUCCGGUUUAAUAAUGGGUGUCUACAAAUGUGAAUACUGCAUCACAGUUGUGCUGGCUCAGUGCUUUGCACUCUGAGCCAUUUGACUGGCCACCUCCAACUACCAUUGAUGUACUUAAAUAAUUUUGCUUAUUAAUCAUUCUGCUUUGAUCUCAAUGAGUAAAAAUGGGACAAGGAUGAACCCACGUGUACGUGACAGUUUUCUCGUGUACGCAUCCACAGUAAGGGCAUAGGUAGUUUUGGAAGAACGUGUUCAGUUUGAGAACAUAACUUGCAUUGUGUUUGAUGAAUCGUUUUCAAUUUAAGUUGCACUUCUCAGCAAGAUUUCAGAAUGGAUCCUUUGUGUUGGAAAAGAAAACAGUUUUAGCUAUAAACCAUUGUGCCAUCAAUGAUCUCUACAGGGUUGCUAAACCUCUGGUUUUUAACUAGCUCGUCUGUUUUUAAACUUUGCUGUACAAUGUUUGUUCCACGUCUUCAAGCAAACGUGAAAAGUCUAUUAUUGUGCACAUUUGCACUGCAUAAGGUGCACACACCGCAUUAUAGAAUGGAUAUGGGAAAGUUAAUUGGUAAAAUAAAAUUGAUUGGUAAAAUUGCUUAAUGUUAUUUUCAAGAAAGAGGGUAUGUUACAUUUUGAUUUAAAGCUUUCGUGACUGCAGUAAUUCAUAUUCUUAGCUCUUUCGGUAAAGUCACGUUGAAGGGAAACAAUAAAAUAAUAAAAAAAUAUAUAAAAUGAUUAUUGUUUUAUAUAUAAUAUAUUUUAUUUUAUUUAUUGUUUCCCUUCAACGUGACUUUACCGAAAGAGCUAAGAAUAGGGUAUGUUACAUUUUAAAAUGCAAAAUAAUGGAAUUAUUUGAACAUUGUACAAUGCACCAUAUAUAAUUGUUCAAUAUGUUCACUUUGUAAUGGGAACUUACUUUUUGUUUUUAAAGCUUUGGUUUUGACUGUGAAGCAUGCUAUAUAUGGAUAACGAUAUAUACUGUCCUUAAAAUAAAUGGAAUUUUGGUUGCAGAA